ACAAAAUCCUUUAACGUGCUGGUUUGGAAAUACUUCUGGUAUUUCUUCUUAAAGGAACAUGGUUUUGAGAAACAGGAGAAAAUGCAGGAUGUGAAGAAGAAUCAAUAGGAGGGAGACAGGUAAUUGAGAAAGUUCAGUAGAACUGGAAAGAGGAAAAUGUGCUGGGUCAGGUAAAGAAACAUCAAAAGCAGUAGAAUAAGGAGGACCAGGAAUAGGAAAAGAAGAUGGAAUAGAUUUUGAAUUAAAAGGAAAAUGAAGAACAAGUGAUAGAGAAAGAGAAGACAGAUUUACUAAAAUAAGACAGUUAUUUUUGCUAAAAUAAGGGGACAAAAAUUACAAAUUAUGUUAGAUAGCAAACUUAACAAGUGAAAAGAAACAACACUGCUCGCUUUUUUCUCUUGAUAGCAAAUUCAAGAGAAAGCAAGUAAAAAUAUAAUAGGUCUCUUUUCGUAACGAAUACUAGUUUCAAAUAUAAUAGGCAAAUAUAAAGCUUGAAAGAAUCACAUUAACUAGUUUCAGAACAAAGCCUGACGAACUAAGUAUCAGAUGUACACAACACAAGAUCGAAAUAACACUCUAUUUGGAAGAAAUUUUACAGAUUUAUCACGUCAAAGGCACAUAAAAUAUGACAGGGAGAGUAAACAAAUGAAAAAUAAACAACCAGUUCCCUCUUAUAAUCGAGUGUGCUGCUUUUCUAUGCCGUGUUCAAUGGGUAUGCAGCAAGUUCAAGAGAAAGAAAGCAAAUAAAACAAUUAAUAUUCCAAAUUAUUGCCAAGGCCAGCUGCAGCAAAUAUAUAGAACCACAAGCUACUGAAUUAAACUCAAAACAGAACAAUACCUCCUGUAACUGCCUAACAAUUAAACUCAACUUUCACCUUGAGAACUUUUAGAGCAGCUCCAAAGCUUUUUUACAAGCAGAUCAUCAUUUACUACCAACUCCACAGUAGUGGCAUCUGCAGAAAGCCCCUUGCCAACCAUUUCAUCAAUUAGUUUUGUUGCCAUUGACAAAUCUUUGAUCCGGAGAUAUCCUUGGACAAUCACAUUAUAAGAGCAACUGUUUGGUAAGCAACCAUGUCCUUCCAUUUUCCUGAACACCUUCAAUGCUUCAUCUAGUAGGGCUUCUUUACUAAGUCCAUUGACCAUUAUAUUGUAUGUGCAACCAUCAGGAUGCAACCCUUCUAUAGAAAGUCUAGAAAACAAUUCCUUUGCGUCUUUAACCUUUCCAGCUUUGAACAUACCAUCAAUUAGAGUACUAUAAACAAUAAGAUCAGGCUUCAAUAAUUUCUUUUGCAUUUCAUGAAAUAGAUCCAAUGCCAUAUCAAGACGGCUAUGCUUACAAAAGCCAUCUAUCAAAAUCGAGUGUAACACCACGUUGGGAGAAUAGCCACUAGCACACAAGUUCUUGAAAAACUUAUAUGCAGCCCAAGGGCUCUUUGCUUGACACAAGCCAUGUAUAGGAGAAUUAUAAGUGAAAUCAUGAGGCAUCAAGCCUUUGCAAGGCAUUUCAUCAAGAAGCCACACUCCCUCACCUAUCCUUUUUCUCUUACAGUAACAAUGAAUCAAGAUGCUGUAGGUAAAAACAUCAGGUGUACAGCCCUUACUUACCAUCAGGUCAAAUAUUUCUCUAGCUUGAUCCACUCGGUUAUAUAAAAGUGAUUUUUAAGCUUUUUCCAGGCAAACUGCGAUGAAGUCCGCACGUAACAUUAAGGUAUAUUAUUUUGAAGUAAUAUGGAUUAAAGUGCAUACUGAGGAAAAUAUCAGCUCCGGGUAUAUUAGAACAAAAAAAAAAAAGCCCACAAAGCAUUAAAAGUAAUUGUUAAUAAUCUAAUGUUUAAUGUUUUAUGUAUAUAUAAUAUAAAAAUAUCAAAGUCCUCAUAGACAAUUAUAAACUUAAAAUACAUAAAAUUCUUGAUGGUCCCAUUAUAAGCACUUUAUUUACUAAUAUAUGUAUAUAUUAAGACAGAUGUACUAAAAUAAGGGAACAAAAAUUACAAAUUAUGUUGGAUAGCAAAUUUAACAAAUGAAAAGAAACAACAGUGCAUCCUUUUUUCUCUUGAUAGCAGAUUCAAAAUAUUGAAUUCAAAUAUAUACAACCACCACAUAUUGAAGGCAAAUAAAAAACUAGUUUGAAAUAUAAUAGGCAAAUAUAAACAACCAGUUCCCUCUUUUAAUCGAGCGUGCUUCUGGGUACGCAGCAAAUUCAAGAGAAAGAAAACAAAUAAAAACAUGGGUACGCAGCAAAUUGAAGAGAAAGAAAGCAAAUAAAAACAGAACAAUACCUCCUGUGACUGCACAACAAUUAUUCCAUCUUAAAAUCUCACUUCAACUUUACACCUUGAGAGUAGCUUUUUCACAAGCAGAUCAUGGUUUACUACCAACUCAACAGUAGUGGCAUCUGCAGAAAACCCCUUGCCAACCAUUUCGUCAAUAAGCUGUUUUGCCAUGGACACAUCAUUGUGGCGGAGAUAUCCUUGGAUAAUCACGUUAUAUGAGCAAUUGUUUGGCAAGCAACCAUUCUCUUCCAUUUUCCUGAACACCUUGAAUGCUUCAUCUAGUAAUCCUUCUUUACUAAGUCCAUUGACCAUUGUAGUGUAUGUGAAAACAUCAGGCUGCAACCCUUCUAUGGAAAGUCUAGAAAACAGUUCCUUUGCAUCUUUAAUCUUUCCAGCUUUGAACAUACCAUCAAUUAGGGUAUUAUAAACAAUAAGGUUAGGCUUCAACAAGUUCUUUUGCAUUUCACGAAAUAGAUCCAACGCCAUAUCAAGACACAUAUGCUUACAAAAGCCGUCUAUCAGAAUUGAGUAGGUUACAUUAUCGGGACAAUGGCCGCUAGCACACAAGUUCUUGAAAACCUUAUGCGCAGCCAAAGGGCUCUUUGCUUUACACAAGCCACGUAUAAGAGAACUAUAAGUAAAAUCAUUAGGCAUCAAGCCGUUGCAAGGCAUUUUAUCAAGAAGCCGCAUUGCCUCAUCUAUCCUUUUUCUCUUACAGUAACAAUGAAUCAAGAUGCUGUAGGUAACAACAGCAGGUGUACAGCCCUUUCUUUUCAUCAGGUCAAAUAUUUCUCUAGCUUGAUCCACUCGGUUGUGUAGACAAUAUCCAUCCAUCAAUGAAUCGUAGGUGAUAACAUUAGGCUCUAUUCCUCCCUGCAUCAUCAAUUUGACUACAUCAUGAGCUUUUGAAACCUUUCCUUCCCUGCAAAGUCCAUCAACCAAAGUAUUGAAGGUAAUUAUAUUUGGUGUGAUGUUUGCUCUCAGCAUUUGGUUAAGCAACAUAAAAGCUUCCUUCCAGCUGCUUGACAUGCACAAACCACGGAUUAAGGUGCUGUAAGUCACAACAUUAGGCAAGAUACCUUCGCUCUUCAUUUUGAAGAAGAGGUCUAAUGCCUCCGCAACCAAUGUGUCCUUGCAGAGGCUGUCAAUGAUAGCACUGUAUGACACCACAUCAGGUUCGCAGCCUUCCUCGACCAUUCUUUUCAGAAUACCAAAGGCAACAGUGGUUUUCCCAAUUUUACAAAGACCAUUCACAAUUGCAUUAUAUGUAUAGACAUCAGGUUGAUAACCUUUUUCAACAAUAUCAUCAAACAAAUCCACAGCUUCACCAAAUUUAUCCUCCCUACAAAGCCCAUGGAUUAAGGUAGUAAGCGUUACAAUGUCAGGCUUAAAACCAAGUUUGAAGAUUUUACCGAUAAGAGAGUACCCAAAAUCCACAUGGUCUAGAUGGCAGAAGCAAUUAAUCAAAAUAUUAAAAGAAUAAAUAUGAUGUGAAAUUCCAAACAUUUCUAUCUGUUUAGAGAGAGAAAUGACAGUAGCAUAAUGUUUCAUUCGAACAAGUGCAGAUAAUAUUUUAUUGAAUUCCAUAACGGGGAGGUGAGGGCUUACUACGAAGCAUCAAAUCAAAAGAAGCCAAAGCCUCAUGAAUGUUAUGGAAAGAAUCAGAUUUGCUUUUACCUCUCAAAUAUGUACUGCUUUUAAAACUACUAUAAGAAACGGAACCAAAAAUAACCAUUGGCCGAUGAACCAGAAAAAUAUUAAGGCAUCUCCGGCUGCUGGUAGACAUCAGCGAUAUCUGCCUCGGCACAAAGCGAAAGAGAAGCAGUUUUCGGGAGAAAUUUGAUGACCUUCCUCUGCGUAAACAGGUUUUGGAAGGAAAUAGUUUUUGCUCUCGUUUAGUCUAAUUUUUUCGAUUUCUUUUCUUCAUUGACGAAAUUGGAUCGGGUCAACCACCAUGAAACCGGACCCAAAAUAUGUCUACUUCUGCAAAACCCAAAAUUGCCCCUACCACAUUUUUACUAAUUUCUUUCUUGGAAAAAUAAAUAGUGAAAUUUCAGUACUUAAAUUCCAACGAAUACAUUUUUACUAAUUUCUUUUUCCUUUUGUGCUUUAAUUUGCAUACAAAUUUGAAAAAUAAUUUUACUGUUUAUUAUCCAACUAUCCAUUAAGGUUGCAACUAGACUCCAAAAUUAGACGGGACUAUUUAAUGGGGAAAUUUAAAAAAAAUUGAAAUCAAAUUUAUAUUUAAUCUUACUUCAUCAGAUUUUGUCUUUUGGCAUGUAUUUUGAGAUCUUUCGCUUAUUAUAUUUGGUAACUAUUUAUUAGUUUAUGUUCUUCAUUUGUCUCGGUAUGUGUCUAAGUAUAUAAUAAUUGUUUUCUUUAUUCUGUAUAUCAGGUAAAAUGUGUUAAUCAUUUUCAUUCUCAUUUAAAUUCAAGGAUUAAUAUAGUCCUUUUUUGAAAUUAGAAGAACAAUUUACAACUGAGAAUCAAUCAGUAUAGAUUAUUAUAAAAUUUAAAUAUCUAGAGAUAAUGCAAUAAUUAAAAUUUCAAAGUAUUAAAGAUUAUAGAAUAGAAAAAAAAAUAUUAAUUUAGAUUUUCAAUAUUUUAUGAUAUUUAUUUAUAAUUUAUAAUCUAUUUAUUUAUAAUAAUAAUAAUAAUAAUAAAUUAUUAUAAUAAUGAUCUAUCUAUACUAUCUAUAUAUAAAUGUGGCCUUAAAGACCCUUAAAAGAUAAUUUAUGCUAUCUAUCUACACUUUGAGCGGAUGGGAAUAGAAUAAUGCUAUCAUUAGCGAGGAGAAAAUUUUUAAUUUGGUAUUUUGAGCUUAGGAGCUGUUUAAAGGGAAGAAUUGCGGAAAGUGUAUAUGAAUCUCAAAGUGGACCCUGUAGAGUGAGUGAAAUUAUCUAGAAUUUGUUUGAUGUAUUUAUUGUUUAUGUUUUGCAGGUGUUAAUUACAAUCUUGGGUCUGAUAAUGCUGUUGAAAAUGCCCGUAUGGUUAUUAAUACCAACUAUUAUGGGACUAAAAAUGUGAUUAAAGCUAUGAUUCCAUUGAUGAGACCUUCAGUUGCAGGUGCUCGUAUUGUUUGUGUAAGCAGCUCACGGCUGGGUAAAUUAGGUGGAAGACGUAAUGUAAGUAAUGCUUUUUCAUGUCUCGUAUCACCCUCAUCUUUAAGAAAUUAUCUUUUAAGGGUCCUUAAUGCUACAUUCUCUGACCUAGUUUUAUCCAUACACUAUUUCUCUAUAAUACACUAUUAAUCUACAUUGUAUAUAAACGUGGGAAAGGGGGAAUAAUGAGAUUUUCUAUAUUAGCCUUAGUUUAAUUAAAAUUUCGAUUAUAUCCUUUUAAUUAGAUUUUUAUUGCAUUAUAAUUAGAGAAAAUAUGAAGGAGAACUUCAUCUUAUUAGAAUAAUUGAUGUCAAUAUCAAAUUUAUAUUUUAUAUAGAGUAAGUAUUGACUUAUUAGAUUAAUAUCAUAGUAUCGUCAAAUUAUAAAAUAUUUUGCAAUACGGUAAAUGCAAAUUUUUAGAUAUUUAUAUAAUUAAUUAAUAAUAACAUUAUAUUUUUUUAUUAAAUAGAGAAGGCAAAAUAUUGUUUUAUUUCAGUUAGAUUUUACAUCUUAAGACAUGUUAAAAAAAAUAUUCAUUAUAUUAUUUAAUUUAAAUAAGAAUUUAUAAUUCAAUAUUAUAUAAAUAAAAAAUUAAAUGAAUAUAUAGCGAGCAAAAUCAAUGUGCAACGCACGUCAUAAAAGAAUUAGUAGCAUUAAAAGUAGUAAAUUCAUUAUUAAUACUCUAAUGUUUAAUGUUUUAUGUGUAUGUAAUAUAAAAAUGGUCAAAUACAUAGAUUGCCUCUUGAACUUUGAUAAAUUAACCCUACGGCACCCCCAACUUUACGGGGAACUAAUUAUCCACCUGAAGUCAAAAAUUUUGCACCAAGUAAACACCUUCCAACAUUGGCAACCGUGUGUGUAUUACAAAUAAGCUGAGUAGGAUAAGUAAAUAAAAAUGGACCCAAUUUUAUUUACAUAUCAACAAUUUUAAAAAUAAAAAAAUAACCUCACCAAUCCCCAUCCAUAAGCCUCUCUCUCACCCCCCAACGAUUGCAUUAAACAAAAAAUAGAGCAUUUCCGUUUAUAAUACGAAAUAUAGAGAAAUGGCAAAGACAUUCGAAAACCCUACCUCUUUUUUAUAUCAGCAGCUAUUGCCAUGAAAGCCUGUUCUACAUUUGUAGCAUUUUUUGCACUCAUCUCCACUAAUAGAACGCCAAUUUACCUGCAAACAUAUUAAUUUGUUGAAUUCAACACGUCAUAAAUGAAGGUCAAAUUAAGGGUUUUGUUGUUAGUAUGAGAAGGUUUUCCACACUAGAUGACUAACUCAAAAAAGCUAAUGCAAUGGUCAUUAUAAGCUCUCAAAAAUUAAAAUGUUGCCCUUUUUGCCUAGGACACGUGAGUGAUGACAAUGAAACCUGUUAUGUAUGGGUUAGUAGAUUAAAAAGUGCAAGGGAGAGAGACAAAAGGAUAUAAAAAAAAAUUGAGGUAACUUUAGUUUCAAUACUAUAGGUUCCAUCUUUAUCAAUCUGCCACUUCCUUCAGUGUAGAGCCUUAUUUCUUAAAUAUCACCUUUGUUGUUUUCAAUUUUCCUUCACAAAAGCUACAUUUUCCUUCAAAAGUACUUGUAAAUAGUGGUCACCGUAUAAUCACAAAGUAAAUAAUCAUACAAUGUAUUCUCGCUCCAAAUCACAGCUAUGUUUUUAUUAGCUGCAGACUAGGAAUAUCUUGCAGUUGUGCCGGAUUGUCUCCUAAAAAGCAUAUUCAAAUCAGGUCCUUGUUUAUGGCCGGCGCCUUUUUUGACGGUAUGGCAUUGGGCGCACUUCGUAAUGAAGAUCUUCUCUCCAGCAUUAGGAUCGUCGGGCGGUGUUUGCUCAAAUGUUGCCACUUUGAGCUCUUUAAAAAUGAAAUUUUAUUUUUAAAACAACAAAACAAUGUUACUUUUUUAUGUUUAAAAUUGCUCAUGUGUAAAUGAAAUUGGGUCCCAUUUCCAUUAAUUUAUCCUACCCAUCUUCUUUACUACAUAUGCGCCCUUGCGAGCAUGGAAAAGUGUUUACUUGGUGUAAAAUUUUCUAAUUCAGGUAUAUAAUUGGUCUUUUGUAAAGUUGAGAGUACCGUAUGAUUAAUUUGUCAUAGUUUAGAGGCAAUGUAUUUAUUUGUCCAUAUAAAAUGAAAAGAAAGGAAAAAAUUAUCUAAAUUGUUAAAAAAAUAACGUGAGCCAAAAUGCUAGUGGUAAUGACUUAGUUGUAGUAACAGUGUAUUAUUUAGUGCAUUAGAAAAAUAAACAUAUUCAUAUACUCAGAUCUUUAAAACCCAAAAAGAUGACCCAAAAUAGAAAUAUAUAGUUAUAGUUUUUUUUUCAAUUUCCAAAUAUUAUUUUCCUUAGAAUAAAACAAAUCUAGGAUAUAAGAGAUUGAAAUUAAAAAUAUUUUAUCAAUAGGCUAUCUAUUUAUUGUAAUAGAGAUACAAAUAUAUUAUAAAGGAACAUGAUAGUAUAUAAAAUUGAUUGAGUAAUGGAAAAAAAAAUAGAAAAUAAAAGAUUAUUUCCAAAAGGCAACAUAUAAUAAGAAAAAAACUACUUUAAAAAAAAUACCAAUUUGAAUCUUAAAAAUUGCCUCUCCUUUAACUGGAAAAGCGAUGAUUUAAUGAAAUUUUAUUUUGAUGAAAAAAAGAUUAAAACCAAAAUAAAUAUAUAUAUCCAAUCAAAUUAUACAAAUAUAAAGAAAAAAUAAUAUUAAAAAUAACGAAUUUUUUUUUUCUUUUCUUUCCCCCCUCUAAAAUAACAACUUUUAAAUCACAAUCAAAUAAUAAAACCAAAUAUUUAAAAAUAACUUUGAAAGUCAAAAUGUAAAAUUUUUCAAAUUCCUCAAUCAUAUAUAUUUAUUUAAACAAAAUAAAUUAAAAUAAAUUAAAAUUUAUAAAUUUUGAAAGGCUUAAUUAUCUAUAUGUAUUUAUUUAAAAGUUUAGUUUUAAUAAAAUAUAUCCAAUAAAAUCAAAGAAAAAGUUAAAAUAUCAAUUUUGUAUAAACCAAAUUGUAGGAAAUAAAGAAUAUAAAAAUUUAAAAAUAAAUAUUUUCUAAAAAAUAAAUAAAAAUUAAUAAUUUUCAAUGGCUUAAUUAUGUGUAAAUGUAUAUUUAAUAAUAAAUUUAUAAAAAAGUACAACCAAAUUAUAAAAGAAUUAAAAAAUUCCUAAUCAAAAUAUUUUAAAUUACAAUCAAAUAUUAUAUAUUUUUAAUAUUUUUUACUUAUAUUUAUCUCUCUCCUAAUCAAAAUAUUUAAAGUUAUCAUUAAAUAUUAUAAAUAUGUUUUUAAGAUAAAAUUUUUUAAUUAGCUGUGACUAAGGUUAUUUUAUAAUAUUUUAAAUUUCAUCAAGAAUAUUAUCAAAAAUCUCAUUAUUCCCCCCUAUUUUCAUAUUUAUAUAUAAUUUAGAUUAAUUAGAAAGAAGUAUUUUCUAAUGCUCUUAUUUAAGUUUCAAGGCGUCAAUUAAUAAUCUUAAUCUCACAAUUUAUAAACAAAAUGUUAAAGCUAAUUGCAUUAUCCUCAGCAUAAAUUAAAAAUUAAAUAAAUAAUAGAAUGCAUAUUUGAAAAUCAUACAUUUUCUUAUUGUUAUAAAUUAUUUUGUCAAUAUAUUUCUAAAAUUGUAUAGAUUUCUUGAACUUUUAACUAUUUAGUUGUAAUGAUAAAUGCAAAUUACAAGCAAAUAAAUCAAUUGCAGGCCAUCAUACCUUGCUCCUUCAACCACCUUGACCUGUGGAUCUUCAUAUCCCUCGUUGUUCCACCCUGCAAUAAUUUUGAGAAUAAGCUGUUAGGACUACCACAAAAGGUCUUGGAGCUUAAAGAGCAUCAUAGAACAGGUUGGGAUUGCAGUUGGAAUAAGCAUGCUUCCAACUUUUUUUUUUUUUUUUUGUUGAAUAUGUUGUUUCAAAUAUAUAUUAAAGCCCGAGAUGCUAUCUAACAUAUCAAUUUUUAUUUUUAGUUUUAGUGAAUUGAUAUUAAAGUAAAUUUAAUUUUGUAUCUAUAUAAAUAAGGAGUGAAAAAGAAACGAAAAAGUUUUCAAAAAGACUUCUAGGGUUUCAGGGCUUCUGAAUGAAGUUUGAUCCGGCUGCUAAGGCCCCUCCGCCACCUUUAACUUUUGAUUGUGCUACUAAAAAGGUACACCACUGAUCCGAUGCACUCCCUCAGUUUCAACCUAAUGUUUCUUUUCAAGACAAAGUGGUGUUUGGACAAAGUGAUGAUGCCGAUAUGGAGUUUGAGGAGGAGAACGUAGAUGUUAUGGGGGGUGAUGUUACUAUAGUCAAUUAUGGGGACAUUCCAGAAGUAACUAUCUCUCGUCGUUGGAAUGAUCAGUUGUCCAACUGUUGGAACAGGACAAUUAUUAUAUUUACUCGUAUCCAGUCUUUAUGGCACCCUAGUUUUCAUCACGUCUGGGAACUGGGGAAUGGUUAUUUCAUGGUAAAGUUCUCUAAUGAAACUGAUUAUCAACAAGCACCCCUAGAUGGCCCUUGGACUAAGUUUGGGAUUUAUCUCAUGGUGGAGCCUUGGCACCCAAGUUUCAAUUUGCAUGACUCUUCCAGUAAGGCAAUUACUGUAUGGGCUAGAUUGCCUGGUUUGUCUCUUCACUUAUAUCAUAAAGCUGUUCUUCGUGCUAUUGGUGUGGCUAUUGGUAGAGUUGUAAAAAUUGACUAUAAUACUAAGGACCUUAAGCGAGGCAAGUUUGCUCGCAUCGCUGUUUCUAUUAACCCGUAGAAGCCCCUUGUGGCUUAAUUCAAGUUUAAUGGACACACUUAGAAGUUCGAAUACAAAAGUCUCCCAUAAUUCUGUUAUGAGUGUGGACUAUUAGGGCAUCGAGUAAAUUACUGGUAGUUUAAAACUCCUGAAGCCGAGAUGGAGAACCCCAAACCGAAUAUUGUGCUUCCAGAAGCUCUGACUUCAGUAGGCCCUUAGUAUGGGCCCUGGAUGGCUGUCUCGAGGUGAGGUAGGAAAUCAACGACCUAGAAGGAGAAGACAUCUAAGGCUUUUGCUAAAAGAUUUUCAGUGUUAGUUGAUGAGCAUAAUGGCGUUAUUAUAAAUAAUGACAACGAGCCUGAUAGUUAUAACUUGCAUGGAAACAGGUUGAAUAGGGUUACUUCACCUUCACGUAUUAAUGGCUCUAGCAUGGGAGGACUAAUUCCCAACGAGGCACAUGAGUUGUAAAACGAAAGCACCCUUUUAACAGACAUGGUUUUGAAAAUUUCACUAACCUUAAUGAGGAUAAGGGGGAAUUUUUCAUUUUCUGGAAAAAAAGAAGUGUUGUGGCGGAGCCGAUCUUGGAUCUUGCACGUCAUACAUUUGCUUCUUUGGGCAUUAAAAUCCCAGUUGGCUCUACGCUUGUUGUUCCAAUUCCUUGUGACGAGUCUUACCCUCACUAGGUGUCUUCUGCCCCCUCUUUUGGUAUCUAUGAAAAUCAUCAACGUCCUCCUCACCUGGUGGGUAUGGACUUUGGCAAUGAUCAUCAUUUUGAAUCAAGUAGUUUGGUGGUGCCGAAAUCAGAUAUGGUUACUGAAGAUAUGUCUCAUGCUAGUCCUGAGAAUGAAGAUGGUGAUGAGGAUUAUUCUAGGGCAGAGGAGGAUGGGCGAGAUCCUUAUUUAAGUGAUUAAUCUUUCUUUUUGAAUUUUUAUGUUGUUUUUUAUCUGGAACUACCAAGGUGCCAUGGGUACCUCCUUGAAUUUUUACGUUUUCAGAUUCAGAUGUAUCAGCCUUCUUUUCUUAUUCUCUUGGAGAUAAGAAUUAGUGGCAUUCAUCUAGAUAAAGUUAUUAAUAAGUUAGGUUUUGGCUUUUCGUAUAGAGUUGAAGCAGUUGGUUUCUCUGGCAGUAUUUGGGUGUGUGGAGACAUGGUUUCUCAAUUGAAGUGUUAGAAAAUCAUCAUCAGUACAUGCAUACUAAAAUUUCACGGAAUGGUUUAUUUAUCAUGCGCUUUACUAUUGUGUAUGGUAGCCCAGUUGAGAGUGUACGCAAGGUCUUAUGAGACCAGCUUAAAAUUAUUAGUAGCACUUGUUCUAUUCCCUAGAUGUUGGCUAGGGAUUUUAAUUCUCUUCUUGCUGCUUUUGAGAGUCAAGGUGAGUUGCGGAAUCGUUUGGGCAUUUGCCACAGUUUUGUUUCUUGUUUUAAUGGUUUGAAGCUCCUUGACUUGGGUUUUAAAAGACCUCGGUUUACGUGGACAUGAGGUUCUUUAUACCAGCGCCUGGAUCGGGCAUUAUGUAAUGAAGCUUGGUGGGUAGCAUUUUCUAAGGCUAGUAUGUUGCAUUUAUCUAGAAUCCAUUCGGAUUAAAGACCUUUGCUCCUUCAUUUUGAUGGUACCUCUAGUCCUAACGCUGCUAGACACAAGUUUUUUUUUCAAGCUGCCUAGCUGUUGUAUGAUGGUUUUGAUGCGUUUGUUCGGUCCUCUUGGAUUUCGGAUCCUUCUCUUAUGACUUCGAAUCUGCAAUUUUACUAUGCAGCUAAAACUUUGGAAUAAAGACAUUUUUGGUAAUGUCUUUCAUAGGAAGCGGGUCCUUCUUAACCGCAUUGUUGGUAUGCAAUGUUAUCUUAAAAAGAAGCAUUCUUUUUAUCUUUUGGAGUUGGAGUCUUCUCUUAGGGCAGAAUUGGAUAUGAUUGUCCAUCAAGAGAAAUUGAUUUGGUAUCAAAAAUCUCGUGCAGAUUGGUUGCAAUGGGAUGACAGAAAUUUGUCCUAUUUUCAUUUGAAAACCUUACAGGUAGGAAAAAGAAUCGAAUUGAAAUGUUGAAGGAUGAUCAUGGCAAUUGGAUUUCUGAUCAUGUGGGUCUUAAACAACUUGCUAUGGAAUUUUUUUCUAAUCUUUAUAGCGUGGAGGGAUCUCAUGUUCCCAGUCUUCCAGUUUCAGGCAUGUUUCCCACCCUUUCUGAUGAUAUCUUGAUGGAUCUUUCGUCUCUUGUGACAGAGUUAGAGGUGCUAAAUGCUGCUUUUAGUAUGAAGCCUUAAAAACACCCUAGUCAUGAUGGUCUCCAUGCAGGUUUUUUUCAGAAAUACUGGUCUAUUGUUGCUCCCAAUAUAUUGUUCUGAGGGUCGUAAUUUUUUUGAAGGAAAGGAUGUUGACCUUGCUCUUAAUGAGACUACCUUAGUUCUUAUUCCGAAGGUCGAUAGCCCAUCCAUGAUUCAUCAAUUUCAGCCUAUUAGUCUUUGAACGAUUGUUUAUAAGAUUAUUUUACUAAGGUGAUCGUUAACAGAAUUAAGGUCUUUCUUCCGCAAGAGAUUGGUCCUACUCAAACGAGCUUUCUUCCUGGAUGACAGAUUACGGAUAAUAUAUUAUUGCUCAGGAGGAGAUUCAUACUAUGCGAAGGAAAAGGGCAAGAAGGGUUUUAUUGCAUUAAAAUUGAUCUUGAGAAAGCAUAUGUCCAUAUUUGAUGGGACUUUCUUCUAGACUCGUUGAAUGAUUUGGGUUUUUUUGCCUCGCUCUCUCAGGUUAUUAUGAAUUGUGUUUCUAAGCCCUCCAUGCAAGUUCGAUGCAUGGUGAAUUAAAUGGUUGAAUCACCAAACACACCUACCAGCAUAUAUUAUUGCUGGUAGGGUUUUCUAUGCGAAGGAAAACCCUACUCAAACGAGCUUUCUUCCUGGAUGACAGAUUCCGGAUAAUAUAUUAUUGCUCAGGAGGAGAUUCAUACUAUGCGAAGGAAAAGGGCAAGAAGGGUUUUAUUGCAUUAAAAUUGAUCUUGAGAAAGCAUAUGCCCAUAUUUGAUGGGACUUUCUUCUAGACUUCUUGAAUGAUUUGGGUUUGUUUGCUUCGCUCUCUCAGGUUAUUAUGAAUUGUGUUUCUAAGCCCUCCAUGCAAGUUCGAUGGCAUGGUGAAUUAAAUGGUUGAAUCACCAAACACACCUACCAGCAUAUUCUGGAUAAGGUUUCAAAUCGUCUCAGUGGGUGGUCUACUUUUCAGUUUGUCUCUGGCAGGCAGAAUCACUCUCUCAAUCGGUGAUUGUUGCUAUGCUGAUUUUCUCUAUAUGGAUCACAUGCCCGCCGCAGACUAUCUGCAAUUCUAUUGAUAAAGCUUGUCGCAAUUUUGUUUGGGGCUCGUCAACUAAUCAUCAAAAGGAAGCUCUUGUUCCUUAGCAUAGGGUCCAAACUUCGAAAUUGGUAGGAGGUUUGGGUUUUUGCAACUUGACUACUUUUAACUCAACGUUUAUGAUGAAAUUAUGUUGGGGUCUCAUUUCUAAGUUGGAUGCUCUUUGGGUCCAAAUUUUACGCUCAAAGUACAACAUGGGAAGGGAUUUGAUCCCUGUUGAGUUUUCUAGUUCUGCGCAAUGGUGGCGAGGGGUAUUUGUCGUGCUAUGCCCGUUGUUAAAACGAGAAUGGUUUUGGCUUUGGGUGAUGCUACUUUGGUUCAUUUUUGGUUGGAUGCCUGGUUGGAGGUGGGUCUUGUCUUGAUUGAUCAUGCCAUUUCUCUAGUUCGUACUGCUUUGUGAAUGGACACUGUAAAUUUAUAUGUUACUAGCUUAGGGCGCUGGACCCUUGAGUUUCUUAGUGAUUUCCUACUGUUUUUGUCACUGUUAUUUUUAACUUGAUUUGUAUUUGAUACAUAAUUUAAUCCUGAAUUUCAUACGAAAAAUAAAUAAUGAUAGUAUUAAACAUAACCAAUAGUCUAGUUAUCAGAUUAAUUACAGAUAAUAUUUUCUCUUGUAUUGAUUAAUCUUUCCAUUGUUUUCAAUAUAAAUAAUUUAUUCAAAAAGAUUUAUUUAACACAUACUAUGGAAUAACAGAGAAAAAAUUUAUGUUGAAAAAUACAUUUAAUUUCUUGAUUUACUUUAUAUUUGGAAAUGCAUGUUAUUUUUUUUCCUAUUAUUAUUACUUUUGCAGUAAUUAGUAUUAUAUAAAAACUAAAACUAGAAAGUUAUGGAAAUAAUUUGAAAUUCAUAAUAAAAAAAAGACAAUUAAAAUUUUAAAGAAAAAAUGGGAUGAAAAUUUUCGAUUUUCGGAACAAAAUAGGAUGGGACAGAACUUGAAUCGAUAUGCAGUUUUAAUCAAAGAACUAAUCUCAUCCCAUAAUUACUUUCUGAAUGGGAUUUGUGACUAGACAAUAAAAUUAAUAUCGGAGGAUUUUUCUUGAGAUGAAAAAUUUGAAAUAGUUUUCGGGAACAGAUCGAGAUUCUCACAGUUCCAUGCUCACCCCUAGUGAAAUAACUGAGCCUAACCAGUACCGUUUUUUGAUUACGUAAAGUAAUUUGGCAAGAAAAUCACCAAAUGGUGGAUAAUCUUGCUUAUUCUUUUUUCUUUAAUAAACUUAACUCUUUAAUUUUGUAACUCAGGUUCAACACGAAUUCACUCAACGCGCAACACGAUUAGAGUCAACAUGAACACGAUCAAUUUAAUAAUUGUAUUAAAUUUAUCAACACGAAUACGACACGAAAAUUAAAUAGGUGAUACAAACAUGACACGUUUAACCCCCCUAAUAUAAUAAACAAGUUAAGUAGGUCGUAUUAAUCAAUGUACAACCCAUGUAACCUGCUUAAUAUCAUAAAUAGAUUAAGUGAGUCGUGUUAAUCUGUACACAAUCCACUUAACCUACUUAUAAUAUUUUAAAAUUUUAACCUAUUUAACUCCAAUCAUAUUUAAAAAUAAAUUUACAUACGUAAAAUGCAUAAAUUCUUCAAGAUUCAUAACUAAAAUAAAAAAGUUACAACAAUAAAAUUUAAAUAAGUUUUAGUUGGAGUAUUUAUAUCUAAUACUAAAAUUACCUCUUUACUCUUAUAUAAAUGGGUCACUCGCUUAACCCGCGUGUCAAUAUGCGACACGACACGUUUAUAUUCGUGUCAUAAAUGGAUGACUCAUUUAUGACAUGAACUCGUUUAACUUCAAUCCUAACUCAUUUAUUUCGCAUGUUAGGCAAAUCUUGUUCGCCUGAUAUGAUAUAUUUUGAUACCCCUAAUAUGACCUACAUCAGCAAAUGCCUGCACACUAUUAAUAUCUUUUUCAAUAGUGAUAAUAAUUUUGAGAAUUUAAUUAAUUAUAUUGAAAUAAGAAAUUAAGUAUUUUUUUUUAUUUUAUGUUUAUGACUUAUUAUACAUGAAUAUUGUUUAUUUACUUGAAAUAUUAACGUAUUGUUCUCGUAUUUUCUGUCCCGUGUCCAUGCAAUCUAGCCCCUUGUGUAUGAGACUACUUCACACAUCAAGCAACUCAAUUAAGAUUUUUUUUUUAUUACCACAAAAAUAAGUGUUUUUUUUUUAAUUUAUUUAUGUGUCUUUUUCUUUUAUUAAUGAAAGAUAAGAAAAAAUAAGAAGGAACUAAAUUUUUUUAAAAAAAAAAACUUAUGUUACUUAUUUUUCUAGAUAUAAAAAAAAAUUAAUAAAGGAAAGAAAACGCAGAGAGUAAAGAGUUGAGAUUAGAAGUGAAUUCUUACAAUGAUCAAUUUCAACCAAAGCGUGACUCUAAACGAAAGGGAGAGUUUAUUGAAUUAAAAAACUCAUGAACAUGAACAAAAAAAAUUAGGCUGGCCAAUUAAUUGAAUACUACAACAAUUAUUCCAACUUUACACCUUCAGAACUUGUAGAGCAGCUGAUUAGCUUUUUCACAAGCAGAUCAUUGUUUACUAUCAACUCCACGGUAGUAGCAUCUGCAGAAAACCCCUUGCCAACCAUUUCGUCAAUAAGUUGUUUUGCCACGGACACAUCCUUGUGUUGGAGAUAUCCUUGGAUAAUCACAUUAUAAGAGCAAACUGUUCAGUAAGCAACCAUUCCCUUCCAUUUUCCUGAACACCGGUAAUGCUGCAUCUAGUAAUCCUUCUUUACUAAGUCCAUUAACCAUUACAGUGUAUAUGCAAACAUCAGGCUGUAACUUUUCUACGGAAAGUUUAGGAAACAGUUCCUUUGCAUAUUUAAUCUUUCCAGUUUUGAACAUACCAUCAAAUAAGGUAAACAAUAAGAUCAGGCUUCAACAAGUUAUUUUGCAUUUCACGAAAUAGAUCCAACACCAUAUCAAGAUAUCUUAUGCACAGCCCAAGGACUCUUUGCUUUACACAAGCCAUGCAUAAGAGAAUUAUAAGUGAAAUUAUCAGGCUUCAAGCCUUUGCAAGGCAUUUCAUCAAGAAGCCGCAUUGCUUUAUCUAUCCUUUUUCUCUUACAGUAACAAUGAAUCAAGAUGCUUUAGGUAACAACAGUAGGUGUACAGCCCUUUCUUACCAUUAGGUUAAAAAUUUUUCUAGCUUGAUCCACUUGGUUGUACAGACAAUAUUCGUCCAUCAAUGAACCGUAGGUGAUAACAUGAGACUCUAUUCCUCCCUGCAUCAUCAAUUUGACUGCUUCAUGAGCUUUUCCUUUCCUUCCAUAUAAAGUCCAUCAACCAAAGUAUUGUAAGGUAAUUAUAUUUGGUGCGACGUUUGCUCUCAACAUUUGGUUAAGCAACAUAAAAGCUUCCUUCCAUCUGCUUGACAUACAGAAACCAUGGAUUAAGGUGCUGUAGGUCACAACAUCAGGCAAGAUACUUUCGCUCUUUAUUUUCAAGAAGAGGUCUAAUGCCUCGGCAACCAAUGUGUCCUUGCAGAGGCUGUCAAUGAUAGCACUGGAUGGCACCAAAUUAGGCAGGCAACCUUCCUCGACCAUUCACAAUCACAGUAUAGGUAUAACAUCAGGUUGAUACCCUUUUUCAACAAUAUCAUCAAACAAAUCCAUAGCUUCACCAAUUUGUUUCUCUCAUGUGGCUAUUGAUUAUCUUCUCAUUAGAAUUGCUCAUUAUGUAACAAUUAUCUUAUUUAUCCUAUAUAUUAAGCAGCAUGUGAUAAUAAUUUUCUCAUUUUUACGUUUUCAGGAGACGUUUUGCACUUCAUUUUAGCUUACCUUAAUAUAUAUGUCUUUAUGAGACUGAACAAGCUGAAACAAUAAUAGAAAGAAAAGAGAAAACUGGAACAAUGUUAUAUAUUGAUAAUCGAGAGAGGGUAAAGUGUUUACUUAUAUAAAAGUCCUAUAAAAGUUAAGCUGUAUAUAGCUGAAUUAUACAAUAAUACAAAUAAUAUUCUACUUUUUAGACUUCCAAGAGACUAAUGCAUCACCAAGAAAUACACAAAAUCCUAUGAGAGAACUCCUUGUAAAGGAACAUGAUGCCCUGUCUGCAUAACGGUAAGCUUGGAGCUGCAAAUUAUUAGAAGCAAAGAAAAACAAACCCCUUGAGGGACAACCAUUUAAAUACUUAACAAGAUACAGAGCAACCAAAAGAUAAGGUCGUCUAGAAGAAGACAUCAAUUGAUUGAGAUGGUGAACAUAGUAAUUCAAGUCAGGUCUUGUUAAAGGGAAUAAAGUAGUUCACCAACAUCUAAAAGUUCUCCUUCAUCUAGAGAUUUAAGACCUCUAGGAAGAGGAGAUAAUGAAGCCUUAGCAUCUUGCAAACCAGUUUCAUGAACCACAUCAAGAAUAAAUUUUUGCUAACUAAUAAUAGUGCCGUAUCAGACCUGGCUAUUUCAAUACCCAGAAAGUAUUUUGCAGAACCAAGAUCCUUCUUAAAGAAUUUACCAUCAAGAGAUUGUUUAACAGAAGUAAUAGCACCCAUAUCAGUUCUAGUAAUUAUAACAUCAACAUAUACCAGAAUAACAAGAAAAUGAUUAUCAAUAGAUCUUAUAAAUGAACACUGAUCAUGAGUAGAUUGACAAAACCCCAAUUUCAAAAUAAAGGUAGUAAAUUCAAGGUUUCAUUGCCUGGAAGCUUGUCUAAGACCAUAAACAGAUCUUUUUGACAUAACUCCACUAGGCUUAUAUUUGAUCUUAAAAAUCCAAGUACCAUUAUUUUCUAAAGCAGUCAAUUCUUCUGUCAUUGCCUUAACCCAAUUAGGAUCUUUUGAGGCUUUAAGGUAAGUGGUUGGUUCAUGAAUUCUAGCUAUUUAAAUGAAAGCUAAAUGAACUUGAAUCAGUACUGGAGAGAACUAACUUGAUGGAGAAAUGACAAUAUUGACAAAAUCCUUUAACGUGCUGGUUUGGAAAUACUUCUGGUAUUUCUUCUUAAAGGAACAUGGUUUUGCGAAACAGGAGAAAAUGCAGGAUGUGAAGAAGAAUCAAUAGGAGGGAGACAGGUAAUUGAGAGAGUUCAGUGAACUGGAAAGAGGAAAAUGUGCUGGAUCAGGUAAAGAAACAUCAAAAGCAGUAGAAUAAGGAGGACCAGGAAC
rnacentral:lncRNA from 1 species